rnacentral:tRNA from 1 species
GGCUUCGUGGUCGAAUAGUAAGAACACUUGCCUCUCACCUAGUAGUCCCGGGUUCGAUCCCCGGUCGAGGACCU